rnacentral:rRNA from 1 species
CAUAUGCUUGUCUCAAAGAUUAAGCCAUGCAUGUCUCAGUACAAGCCGCAUUAAGGUGAAACCGCGAAAGGCUCAUUAAAUCAGUUAUGGUUCCUUAGAUCGUACCCACAUUUACUUGGAUAACUGUGGUAAUUCUAGAGCUAAUACAUGCAAACAGAGUUCCGACCGGAGACGGGAGGAAUGCUUUUAUUAGAUCAAAACCAAUCGGCGGCGGGCCUCCGGGUCCGUUCGCCGCUCAAUUUGGUGACUCUGAAUAACUUUCGGCUGAUCGCACGGUCUCGCACCGGCGACGCAUCUUUCAAAUGUCUGCCUUAUCAACUGUCGAUGGUAGGUUCUGCGCCUACCAUGGUCGUAACGGGUAACGGGGAAUCAGGGUUCGAUUCCGGAGAGGGAGCCUGAGAAACGGCUACCACAUCCAAGGAAGGCAGCAGGCGCGCAAAUUACCCACUCCCGGCACGGGGAGGUAGUGACGAAAAAUAACGAUACGGGACUCAUCCGAGGCCCCGUAAUCGGAAUGAGUACACUUUAAAUCCUUUAACGAGGAUCAAUUGGAGGGCAAGUCUGGUGCCAGCAGCCGCGGUAAUUCCAGCUCCAAU